ensembl:lncRNA
GGCAACCUGGAAUCAGGUGUGCAAAGAACUGAAGGAGACCCAUUCAAGAAUCAACUCUCCCAGGGGCUGCAUGGGGCAGCGGGGAGCGGGGAAUGUGAGGCUCAGCACAGCCUGAGGCCCAAGGACAGAUGCCUAGCAUUCCUCCCACUGCCCAAAGACGCCCUCUGUCCCCAACCCAGGCUACUCCAGCUCCCUCUCACAUCAGGCAAGUGACGAGCUGCAGACUCUGGCCACCCAACACCCAGCCACGGAGCCCAGGGCUCUCCUCCUCCCCUACUCCGCCUCCUCGCUGCCACACGGUUAUUGACAAGAAUAAGCGCUCCUCGGUAACUUGCAAUGGAAAUGAAAACUGCUCAGGGGGAAGGAAUUGGGAACGUUUUGUCCUUCAGAGUCGCAAAAGAUUUAAAUCAUUCUCCCUAUCGGAGGUCUCGUUUACCCUGAGUGGAAACAACAGCAAAAUAAAAACCUGUUGAAUGGAUUGUGCAAUAAAGGGAAAUGAAUGCUGCAGAGGCAAACUGGUAGGGCCAAAGAGGAAGACACGAAGCCGCCAUGAGGAAGCCUCCCUUCCAGAAUGUAGAGCUAGAGGAGAACAGGAGCCAAAUCUGUCUGGUUGACUCUGCUCCAUCCCACUGUUGGUGCCUCCCGGAUACCGGGACAUACAUAUGUCAAACUGGACGAGCCUCAUUUCAAGAGCUCGCAGCCACACAUGGUUACCAUACAGAAGAGCACAAGACUGGGCUCCACUAGGGUCUUACCAGCGUUCUGGUUUGCUGGUAAAGUAGGAGAAAAAUUAAGCUCUGCUACAGCAGAAGGCAGGGCUUUCCAGAUGGCUCAGUGAUAAAGAAUCUGCCUGCCAAAGCAGGAGACAUGGGUUCAAUCCCUGGGUCAGAAAUAUUCCCUGAAGAAGGAAAUGCAACCCACUCCAGAAUUCUUGCCUGAAAAAUCCCAUGGACGGAGGACCCUGGUGGGCUAUAGUCCAUGGGGUCUCAAAAGAAUCGGACACAACAUAAUAACCAACCAACCACAGUGGAAGACAACACAGCCCUUACACUUCUGCUCGUUAGACAGCCGGGUCGAAACCUGACUCUGCCACUCACUACUUGCCCAACCUGGGGUGCCAAGUCCAGAGGCCUCGCACUUGGCCCUUCGGCCUGGAGUUCCCGUUUAUAACAGGACUGUGCCAACAUCUCAGCUCCAGGGCUGUGUGCAGAAAAGCUGCCCGGGACAUUCAGUUCAAGAUGGCAGUGGAGAGCCGUGUGCAGAGGCAAUGCUCUCGGCUCCGCAAUCUAGAGCCCGAGCAGCACAGCUGCGCCUGAUACCACACUCCCUCCACC